UACAGAGGGUGCGAGCGUUGUCCGGAAUCACUGGGCGUAAAGGGCGCGUAGGUGGCGACCCAAGUCGAUGGUGAAAGCUCGGGGCUCAACCCCGAGUCGGCCGUGCGAACUGCUGGGCUGGAGCACUGUAGAGGCAGGCGGAAUUCCGGGUGUAGCGGUGGAAUGCGUAGAGAUCCGGAAGAACACCGGUGGCGAAGGCGGCCUGCUGGGCAGUGGCUGACACUGAGGCGCGACAGCGUGGGGAGCAAACAGG
rnacentral:rRNA from 1 species